rnacentral:lncRNA from 1 species
GGGGGAACUUGGCCGGCGUCCCGUCGGCCACGAGCUCCUCCAGUGGCUUCAGCACGAUCUUGUCUUUGGGAGGCUCGCAGAAGACCGCCCAGGAGAUGCGCACCUUCUCCUUGUUGACGAGCCCGCGGUGGAGGAUGCUCUUGUACUGCCCAUUGCUCAGGAUCUCGAGGCAGUCUCCGACGUGCAUGAUGAUGGAGUCCGGCACGCAUUUGGCGGUGACCCACCUGCCGCCGUAGUAGAUCUGCAGCCCCGGCACCAUGUUGUGGAGGAUGAAGGAGAGCGCGCUGAUGUCGGUGUGCGCCUCGACGCCGAGGGCGAGAUCGGGCUGUGGGCAGAUAGGGUAGUAGUUGAUCUUCAACUGCAUCAGCAGGUCCUCCAUCCCUCCGAGUUCCCUGUCCAGCUUCCCCUCUUCCAGUCCAAGACCCAGGGAAAGAACUUCCAGCAUCUUGGUGACCACCGCCCUCAGCUGCCUCCC